GUCUCCGGCCAUGCCACCCUGAACGAGCCCGAUCCCGUCUGAUCUUGGAAGCUAAGCCGGGUCGGGCCUUGGAUGGGGAGACCACCUAGGAAGAGCAGGUGCUGUAGGCG
rnacentral:rRNA from 1 species